UUCGCCUGGAUACUACGAGCACUAGCUUAAAACCCAAAGGACCUGACGGUGUCUUAGAUCCCCCUAGAGGAGCCUGUCCUAGAACCGAUAAUCCCCGUUAAACCUCACCAUUUCUCGUUAACAUCAGCCUAUAUACCGCCGUCGCCAGCUUACCCUUUGAAGGAACAAAAGUAAGCAAAAGGGGCACAGCCCAAAACGUCAGGUCGAGGUGUAGCAUAUGAAAUGGGAUGAGAUGGGCUACAUUUUCUAAUACAGAACAUUUACGAACACGCAACAUGAAACACGUGCCAGAAGGAGGAUUUAGUAGUAAAGGGGAA
rnacentral:rRNA from 1 species